UUAGGAAUAGGGGUUUUCAAUAUACAAUGUGCGGUUGUCCUCACUAUAUAUGUCUCUCUCACUCCUUCCCUCUUCCCUCAUCGUGCACCGUCUCCCUCAUUUCCUUUUCCUCAUCUCCCCACACAUUCUCGUUCUUCAUCCUCGUUCUCCUCCCUAAUUUUCGUUCUUCGUCAUUCUUCAAUCCUCCCUCACCAGACGAAGUCUUCGUCGAGAUUUCCCUAAUCCUCACUAAUCGAAGCCCGCGCUCGUCGUUCCUCGCAAAGCUUCGGUCGUCGUUCAGAUCGAAGACUUGAGCCUUCGAAGUCUGCGCUCAUCGUUCCUCGCGAAGCCUUCUGUCGUCGUUCAUAUCGAAGACUUGACCCUUCGAAGCCCACGCUCGUCGUUCCUCGCGAAGCCUUCGUCGUUCCUCUCGAAGCCUUCGUCGUUCCUCGCGCUUGAAGCCUUCGUCGUUUAGAUCUUGUUUUCAUCAGAUUUUGGUCGUCCUCCUUUUCGCUGUUCGUCCUCCUUUUCGCUGGUCACCGGACGUUGAAUCGCUCGAGUUCUUGGCGAUAUUACAGUUUCAUUUUUCAGCUUCUGAUUCUUGUUUUUGGGUUUUUUAUUUUUUCAAUAUUGUUCUUAUUAUAUUUUUUGUAAUUAGUCAUUAAGUUGUAACUGCUUUUUUUUAAUUUUUGCUUUUUCAUUUUACUUUUUGAUCUUUUGUAUUAUUUAUGUAAGUAUGUAACUAGUUCUUUUUAUUUUUAUAUAUUAAUCAGAUUCAUGUCAUUUUAUCUUCAA